ACCACUGUUAAGGUAUGCUCUUUCCUUUUAUUCCAAUUUAUAAUAACGCUAAUAGUUUGUCUGUGUUCCUACUGCAGUCAUUUAUUGGCCUACUCAUCUGUAUCUUUAAAGGAGAAGCUUACACAAGUGCAACUUCAUCUGGGGAUGGCAAACAUGAAGCGAAUGUAGAGCUGUCGGCAGAGGAAAAUGUGUCUGCCUCCAAAGUGGUUCCCCUGGUGAAGAUGCUGGAGCACACCCUUCAGCAGCAUUGGAAAUGGGAAACCAGCUCAUCGGGCAACUCCGUGAGAAGCUGUACACUUUGCAGUCGAUGAGCAUCAUGUCUCUUGCUACCCUCCUGGACCCCCGAUUUAAAGUCAUAGGAUUUUUCAGCCAAACAAAAGCCACCAAGCAAUAAAACGACUGACCUCCGAGUGUGCCACCAUUAUACGGUCAAAACAAAGCAGAGAGGAAAUCCCCCAGGCUUCCACCUCUCAUGAUGUCACAGGAGGCAGCAAACUGUGGCAUCGUUUAGACACCAGCGUCAUGGAGGCACAGAAGACUCAAAAUGUAACAGCAGAUGCCACUGUGGAGGUCCAGCGCUACCUUUCCGAGCCAAAUAUAAGCAGGCUGGAAAACCCUCUGGAGUACUGGGAGAGGCAACAAUUCCUGUUUCAAAAUUUAUAUAGACUUGCUCUUGCGUUUUUGUGCACGCCAGCAUCUUCUGUACCCUGUGAAAGGGUGUUUUCAAAGGCCGGAGAGGUUGUGUCAAAAAAAAGGAAUCGCUUAAAACCAAAAACUGUUGAGAAACUGUUAUUUCUGAAUAAAGAUGAAUAAAAUGUC